AUACGUAGGUGGCAAGCGUUGUCCGGAUUUACUGGGUGUAAAGGGCGUGUAGCCGGGAAGGCAAGUCAGAUGUGAAAUCUGGAGGCUCAACCUCCAAACUGCAUUUGAAACUGCUUUUCUUGAGUAUCGGAGAGGUAAUCGGAAUUCCUUGUGUAGCGGUGAAAUGCGUAGAUAUAAGGAAGAACACCAGUGGCGAAGGCGGAUUACUGGACGACAACUGACGGUGAGGCGCGAAAGCGUGGAGAGCAAACAGGAUUAGAUACCCUGGUAGUCCACGCUGUAAACGAUCAAUACUAGGUGUGCGGGGACUGACCCCCUGCGUGCCGCAGUUAACACAAUAAGUAUUGCACCUGGGGAGUACGAUCGCAAGGUUGAAACUCAAAGGAAUUGACGGGG
rnacentral:rRNA from 1 species